rnacentral:rRNA from 1 species
UACGGAGGGUGCGAGCGUUGUCCGGAAUCAUUGGGCGUAAAGGGCGCGUAGGUGGUUGGGUAAGUCUAUGGUGAAAGCGCGGAGCUCAACUCCGCGUCUGCCGUGGAUACUGCUUGACUGGAGCACUGUAGAGGCAGGCGGAAUUCCGGGAGUAGCGGUGGAAUGCGUAGAGAUCCGGAAGAACACCAGGGGCGAAGGCGGCCUGCUGGGCAGUUGCUGACACUGAUGCGCGACAGCGUGGGGAGCAAACAGG